UAGGACAGCAGCCGUGCAG
rnacentral:misc_RNA from 1 species